CUCUCCAGUCGACCGGAGUCGUGGGCGGAGCACCGGAUGAUAUUUAGUUUAGUUUUGAACUACACAGAGCCGGAAGUGUGUUAUCCAUCCGAUGUAACGGUUCAUUAGGUGAAGACGGCAUUCAGAGAUUCUGAUGGAUCUUCGUGUCUGAGCAGGCUGAGAAAUAUAUUAACACACCCCUCUCCUUCAGUUCAUCUGCAUCGCUCUCUGAAGCAGAAUUUCGGAGUUUCUUCUAUCUUCUCACGAUCUGGAAACCCCAAACCCCAACGAGGGACUCCCCCAUGAGGAAUAUGAUCGCACUAAAGAACUGCAGAAGACUGAAGGAAUGGUGAAGUUCAUCAGCAGAAGUGACAGCAUGGACAGUCUCAUCAACUUUACAGAAGAAGAUCCAGAUGGAAAUGCUGUGAUUCCUGAGAAGAAAGACCAGAUCAGACCGGUUCUGCUGGGAAAGACUGGAUCUGGAAGAAUGGAACAAGAAACAGCAUCAUCAUCAAUGAAAUAUGAUUCAGAGACCAGUGAAAGAAUCAACAAAAACAACAACAAACACAUUAAAGUGAUGAGUCUGCAACCGAUUUCACAUCAAUCAGGAAAACAGGGAAGAUGGAGAGAAACAGAGGGACACACUGUUUGAGUAACGUCUGAGUGCUGGACUAGUCGAGACUGAGUCAAGACAGAGUCCAAAUGAGAGAAAAAAAGGGUCCUCUUCAAGACCACAUACUUUUUAUGUUCUUUAUUUACAUUUUAUUUAUUUAAUAAUGCUGCUGUUGCUGACAUUAUGUCUGUGAUCAAAAAUUAAAAUGACUGAUCCCUUGGCGCAGCCCACACACACACACACACACACACACACACACGAAGCACGGUUAAGGCUAGAAGGGAUACGUUUGUCUCCACUGGGCAUACACACAUAAAUACAGCGACAUGAUUGUCAUACUGUACUAGUGCUAGCAUAGACGAGUCGAGCGCUGUCAGAAACAAUCGACUACUCCAGCAUAAAUUAACCAUGAUGCAUACAAAGUGUUUGCAAGUACGACGUGACUUUUAGGA